UACGUAGGGUGCAAGCGUUAAUCGGAAUUACUGGGCGUAAAGCGUGCGCAGGCGGUUUUGUAAGUCAGAUGUGAAAUCCCCGGGCUCAACCUGGGAACUGCGUUUGAAACUACAAGGCUAGAGUGUAGCAGAGGGGGGUGGAAUUCCACGUGUAGCAGUGAAAUGCGUAGAUAUGCGGAGGAACACCGAUGGCGAAGGCAGCCUCCUGGGAUAACACUGACGCUCAUGCACGAAAGCGUGGGGAGCAAACAGG
rnacentral:rRNA from 1 species